CAAUCUCCAACUCCGUUUGAAAACUCUAAAGUACAGCUCCUUUGGCUUUGAUGGAGAGAAGUGUAGAUCUUCGCUUCUCUCCUUCGUUCGACCGUGCUUAUUUAUCACUCGCAUUUCUCUCAGAAGUGAAAACGGGGCUGUCUUUCGCAAAGUUCGCCAAGAAGAAAAGAUGCGUAUACUGAUGGUUGGACUUAAUGCUGCUGGUAAAACUACCAUUCUUUACAAGCUCAAGUUAGGAGAGAUCGUCACUACCAUUUCCCACCAUUGGUUUCAAUGUUGAGACGAUUGAAUACAAAAACAUCAGCUUUACUGUGUGGGUGGGUGGUGGCCAGGACAAGGUAACUGGGUUUUGUUUUAUUCUGAUAUUUUUACUGUUGAGUGUAAAGAUUUGGAAAGGAAAAUCUAUGGUGUCUUUUAAUAUGUUCUUUCCGUAAAUUCUUUGCUCUUCCUUUUGAAACUGGAAAGAUUAUGGAUGUGGCAUUGUUCUGGUUUCAUAUAUUAUGUUAGAAAUUAAGCAUCUUGAUAUCCUCGAUGCUAUGUUAUCCAAACAAUAUUUUUUUCUUAAGUACUUAUUCCCAACAUAUGUGAGUGACAUAUUUUGACGAGGGAAUAAUUAUCCAAAUAUAGAAGGGAUGGGGGAUUGGAAAUUGGGCAUGCCUUUGUUGCACACAUCCGUAUUUGAUACAUUGAGCCCGUGUAGCUUAGCCUUAACAUUUAGUUCCAUAAAAGAGAACAUAUACUACAUGUUCAUUAGCCUAUGCAAAAUUUGAUGCUUUGUGGUCAAAAUUGGACCUUAUGUUUUUAGUAUAUCUUUGAUCUUGUUAGAUCUUUUAGAAUAACAAAGAAGUCCUUAUUGUUUUUGUUUAUCUCAACUUUUCAACUGGCUUAUUGGCUUUGAUUUUCUAUACAGAUCCAACCAUUGUGGAGACAUUACUUCCAAAACACACAAGGACUUAUUUUUGUGGUCAAUAGAAACGAUCCUGAUCAUGUGGUUGAAGCUAUAGAUGAGUUGCACAGGAUGUUGAACGAGGAUGAACUGAGGGAUGCUGUGCUUCUAGUAUUUGCCAACAACAAGAUCUUCCUAAUGCUAUGAAUGCUGCCGAAAUUACUGACAAGCCCGCCAUUCAUUCUCUCCGCCAGCGCCAUUGGUAAGAUGAUGAAAUCUUUCACUAUUUGCGUACCCUCUCUAUAUUUGGAUCCAUAUGUCACCUUCUGGAUAAAACAUUUUGCAGGUAUAUCCAGAGCACAUGCGCCACUUCUGGUGAAGGACUAUAUGAGGGGCUUGACUGGCUCUCAAACAACAUUGCAAACAAGCAAGCUGAUGCAGAUGACUAAUUAUCGUUAAACCUGAAGUUGCAGAUAUGUGUACACAAAUUGCAGGCAUCGAAGACGUAAUUGAGUCGGCAUUCUCACUACCCUUUUGCAGUUAUGAAUAUCAACCCUGUUUAAGUGUUGUUUUUCCAUGUUUGUUGCAAACGCUGCCAUUUGAUACUUGUAGUUCAAGAAUAAUUGAUACGUUUCCU